rnacentral:rRNA from 1 species
UACAGAGGUCUCAAGCGUUGUUCGGAUUCAUUGGGCGUAAAGGGUGUGUAGGUGGCGCCGUAAGUCGGGUGUGAAAUUCGGAGCUUAACUCCGAAACUGCAUUCGAUAACUGCGGUGCUUGAGGACUGGAGAGGAGUACUGGAAUUCAUGGUGUAGCAGUGAAAUGCGUAGAGAUCAUGAGGAAGACCAGUGGCGAAGGCGGGUCGUCUGGACAGUUCGUUGACACUGAGACACGAAGGCCAGGGGAGCAAACAGG